GUAAAUCACAAAAAAAGUCAAUAGGUUGCCGUAUUAAACUCAACUUUCCGACGAUCGCCGGAACUGGAAAAAGCUCCUCUCUCCGGGAAUGGCAGGAAUGGCUAUGUUUGCCUCUAAUCUCUCCAGCGAGAUGGGGUUAAAAUUGCUUCUUAGCCCGCUUAAUACUAAUGUUAUUGUCCGCACUGCAUGCUGUUCUGUAGGGAUUGUUUUGCCUGUUUAUUCUACUUUUAAAGCAAUUGAGACGGGGAAUCGAAAUGAGCAACAUAAAUGGCUUCUGUACUGGGCAGCAUAUGGAUCUUUCAGUAUUGUUGAAGCAUUCACGGAUAAAUUUCUCUACUGGUUCCCACUAUACUAUCAUGUGAAGCUCGCAUUUCUUGUUUGGCUUCAACUUCCAUCUGCUGAGGGUGCAAAGCAAUUGUACACGAACCAUCUGCGCCCUUUCCUCAUGAAACACCAAGCAAGACUGGAUCAUAUUUUGGAGUUAUUUCAUGGAGAAUUGGGUAAAUUUAUUAGUACUCACCAAGCAGAAAUUCAGUUUGCAAAGGUGCUUCUUGGCAAAACCUUACUAUCAGUUGGAAAUAUUCUUCAACAACCUGCGCAAGGACGAGUUGUUGGCACAAUUGAAGGGCCAGCAGAGCAAGUAGAGACUUCAGAAUCUGAAGAUGAAUCGUGAUGCGCUCUUCAAAAUCAGCUAAUAAGUACCGUCUCUCUAUUGUACUUCAUAUCAACUUAGUUUAGCUUUCGUUCAAGAUAGGAGUGAUCAGUGUAUACAUAAUUUUCUAAGGAGUCAAUUUUGUUGUGGUUUGAGAGUUUCCUUCUCCGUUUUCCUGUAAAUAUAUCAACAGAAACUGCUGAUUUCCUUCAAUCUCGUAGGGCAUUAUAAGAUUUCACAUUGUUUUUAACCAUUUUAGCAGACUUUGUGCAGUUAUUGCUUUGUAUGCAUUGUGAAAUAGUACUUAUUUACUGG
rnacentral:misc_RNA from 1 species